AAUCACUCCACUGACUUUGAUUGUUGCUCUUAAAAUUACAUGUAUUAUUUUUGCAUUUUUGCAGUUAAACAGGCAUUGGUUUCCGCUAUUUUUAUGAUUAUCAGUUUGUCUCGUGUUAUAAGCCAUUACCUUGAUAUCUCUAGGUCUGAAGUUUUUUUAUUAAUAUUACUUAGAUUUAACUGGCUAUGUGACUAUGUAAACUGUUGUACUUUAUUACUUCUGAAAAACUCUUGGUGAAUGCAUCUCUUAAUGAUAUAUCUGAAUAAUUAAUGUUUUUGUCCUUCUACAACCCCAUUUCUCAUUUUAUCCUCUCCUCCAGGUCUCUUAAGAGCUUGUUCAUAUUUUCAUUUACUUAAAAAAAAAAAUCUCUGAUGCAUCCUGCAUAAUUUCUGUAGACUUAUCUAAUGGUUUACUAUUAUCUCCCAAUAUAUCAACUUGUAGUUAAACUGAUACAUUAAAUUUUACAUGUCUAUUACUUUAUUUUAUUUAUAAAGCCUAUUUUAGUUAUUUUGAAAAUUGUUACUUGUGUGUUCAAGUUCCUAUUAUUUCUGAACCAUUUGAAUUAUGUGUCUGGCAAUUCCUUUAUCUGAAGUCUUUUUCAAAUAUUCCUUUGCUGUUUGCUGCUGGUUAUUUUGUAAUUUUGUAAUUAUGUAUAUUUUGUAAUUUUUAUUUGUGUGUGUAUGUGUGUUUGUGCAUGUGUGUAUGUGUGCGUGUGUGUGUGAGAGAGAGAGAUUAAUUUCUUAAUUUCCCUAGAACUUUAUAUAUUGGUAAUUUGUGAGUCCUAAGAUUCAUGAGACAUCAUCCUGAGAAAAUCUGUAUUUAUUCUGUUAUACUAUUUAUCAAGACACUAAAGUUCUAGGACCAUUUUUAACAAAAGUAUCAGUUCAAUGGUUUUCAGAACAUACAAUGUGAUGCUUAUUUCUAGUUCCCACUGCACUGAUGACGUAUCUGUCUGAAUGAGCCAGUUUAACGUGGUUGUUCUCUUAUUAAAUUUCUUUUUUCAUUUUUUUUGAUAGGCCUUGGGCUCGCCUAGAUCAUGAAAAUCAGAAUCUAUGGUUUACCUUUAUUAGGAAACACUUGGAAGGCAAAAGGAGGUUUAUAGGUAAUUGAGAUGCUAAGAGUUUGAGCAAAAUAAACCAUUUGUUAUUAUGCUAAAUAGCCAAAUAGUAAACUUUGACAAUUGCUGAUGUUAGCAUUUAUGUAUAAAGGCAGUAAAAUGCAUAACUGUAAAAGAACUGUCAUUAUCUUAAUAUUUACAUUAAUAAUUAUUAUUUUCUCAGUUUAUAUAGAAUGUGCAAAUUAUUACUUUUUCAUGGCAAGUAGGGAGUAGUAAAGCAGCAGUUUAGAACACAAAACAGUAGGACUUAGCAUAGAAUUUUCUUAAAUUUCUACGAAUUAGGACACAAUAGCAUCUCUCUCUAUAAAGAAGCAUGGAAUUAAUUUCCUCAGAGUAAUGGAUUACUGGAAGCUAUUUUCUUAUUAUAUUAGUGAGAAGCAAAGCUAUUUAAACAAAACACUUGAUGGAGUUUUGUUUUAAAUAAAUUGUGUCAAUGAAGCAACUGAACGUUUUUUAAAACAACACUAAUAGCUGAAAAUCAGAAGCCCUCUUCAAAUGGGUCAAGAAUGAUAUAAAAAACCUAAAAGAGCAUUAACAUUAACAGGGCAGUUUAUGGAAAAGUUGAAGAUUAAUAGUAUCAGGAUAAUAGAGUCUCUAGGUCACACUUAACUAAGACCUUUUAUAAGAUCUUUUCUAGGUAACAAGAAGAAGUUAAUAAUAAUUUUUAUAUUCAUGUUGUACAUAAAUUAAUUAUAUCUUAAAUUUUGUUUGUCUCCAAUAUUUCUGAUUCAAUAAUUCUUAUAUUCUUCCUUCAUAAUAUCUUAGGUAAAAAAUCACUUCCCAGGUUAAAGAUAUUUCAAUGAUACCGAUAUUUAGUGAGACUAUAAAUUUAUUUGGUAACCUAAAAUUGGUGUAUUAUUUCCCUUUAAUUGCAUUUGUGCAUGCAUGUAUAUCUAUAUACACCAGUUUAUGAAUCCUCACUCUGGAUAUUAAAACAGGAUGAUUUCCUCCUGAUAAUUAUAGUCUAGGCAUUGGUACAGCCUAACCUCUCCCUUAUAGAAUAUGGCUUCAGUGAAGAUCCAAGUGUUGUAUCUGCAACACAUCAUCUACCUAAUAAAUGGCAGAGCCUUCACUGAGAUUUAUAUAUUUUGUGUCUUGGUCCAGUCAUUACAUGUGAUGCCACACCACAAUAUUUUAUAAGCUUUAAAGAUUUGUUUGAUGGUGGAAAACAACACAAUGACACUUAGAUAAAAAGCAGAAUUUGUGCUACUUAGAGUUCCAAAAGAGAGAAGGCUGCCAGGCAGUAUCUCACAGGGGCUUGCAUGGAGGGACAGGGCAACAGCAACCUGGAGCUGUAGGGGCAGCCUAUCUAUGGCAAAUAGGGUGGGGUUAGCUAGGUUCCUGUGGGGCUUUUUGUGGAUUUAUCUAAUUUGGAUAAUGUCCCACUCUCAGGCACACAGAGGCUAUUUCUGAGUGUCUGGUAUGUGGCCCUAGGGGUGAUGAAGGUGGGUGUAUAGGGGUCCUGAAGUGUGAAAGCCUGAGAAGGGAAGGUAUUGGAGGGGGAACUUAAUUGGCUACUCAGGAGGGACAUUGACUGGCAGCCACUAGUUAGGGCUUCAAAUCUGGGUCAAGAUAGUAUUUUUUUAAAAAACUGGAUUAUACACAAUGUAUUUUUUUAAACAAUUUAAUGUGUAAG
rnacentral:lncRNA from 1 species